rnacentral:rRNA from 1 species
CCCGCAGUUGGUAAUCCUUCGAGGCAGCAGUAGGGAAUCUUCCGCAAUGGACGAAAGUCUGACGGAGCAACGCCGCCUGAGUGAUGAAGGUUUUCGGAUCGUAAAGCUCUGUUGUUAGGGAAGAACAAGUACCGUUCGAAUAGGGCGGUACCUUGACGGUACCUAACCAGAAAGCCACGGCUAACUACGUGCCAGCAGCCGCGGUAAUACGUAGGUGGCAAGCGUUGUCCGGAAUUAUUGGGCGUAAAGGGCUCGCAGGCGGUUUCUUAAGUCUGAUGUGAAAGCCCCCGGCUCAACCGGGGAGGGUCAUUGGAAACUGGGGAACUUGAGUGCAGAAGAGGAGAGUGGAAUUCCACGUGUAGCGGUGAAAUGCGUAGAGAUGUGGAGGAACACCAGUGGCGAAGGCGACUCUCUGGUCUGUAACUGACGCUGAGGAGCGAAAGCGUGGGGAGCGAACAGGAUUAGAUACCCUGGUAGUCCACGCCGUAAACGAUGAGUGCUAAGUGUUAGGGCUUCCGCCCUAUGCGUCCGCCGGAC